GAUAUCACGGAUUUCUUCAUUUUUAUCGCGCUCUGUCAGCUCUUUUUAUCGGUUCUUUAUCUUUAAACGAAUGCAGCAGGUCUCAGUGAAUCUAUUGUCAAGCGGCUGAUUUGAAGUGGGCUCUUUCUCUCUCGCGAUGGCUGGACAGACCAAAGAGGCUCUUUGUUUUCACAAAGGCUCUGUCACUACUUCCUGUUGACACAAGAUGAAUGUCCAUCACAUCCUGUCGCCAGUGUUAGUGCCUGGUGUUCGUUGUCUGAUUGACAGCUGAAUGAAUGAAGCCAAAGCAAUCUUUGCAAACAGAGACAUGACUGUUUCCCGUCUGCGGUCGUGACAAGACUCAACUCAAAGGACUCCUGCUGGAGUUUUGUGUCAGAGAAAAGCGUUCGUCUUGUCAGCUGCUGCUGCUCCAGAUGGAAAGUGUGGAGGUGAUUCUUCAGCUGGAGGUGGAAGAUUGUCAGAAAAAUGCUGAGAGGUUGAAAUUUUUCUCAUGUUUAACGCUGAUGCUGUGUGUGUGUGUGUCUCCAUCGAUUUCAUCCAAUCACUGGAAUUCACUGCCCUUCACAGAGUGAUGGACGCCAGGCUAAAUCACAGCCCUCGUCUGCACUGCAGAGUUCCCCUCGGAGGACGGGAGUUAAUCAGUGCCAAUGACACCGCAGGAACGUCUUCAGGCUGCUGAAUUUGGUAGGUCU